CAGCUCCCGCGAACAACUCAGAAUAGCGGUGCGCCUGACAAGUCGCGGCCGACAUGGACAGAGCAAGAUACUGGCAGCAAAAAUACUACUACUUGGUGACGUUUACAAAGACUUAAUCAUGAAGAGAGAUGCUUUUAAGAGAGGAGAAGACAUCUGGAAGACCACUGCAGAGAAAGGGAAAAACCACCUGAAGCCAUAAAGAGUGCAAGUACAUCUCAAAGUGCAGCUGAUGCUGGAAUGGGAGACAAACUUAAAAGAGACCUCCAGAACCUGCAAAGACAGAAAGCACCUGUAACCUCUACUCCAAUGUCAG